GUCGAUAAUUUACCUUGAAGUCUGGGAUAACCUUGGCAAACUGAGGGGAAACCCGGAUAGGGAAAAAAUACUGGAAUGUUUUUUUCCUCAAAAGCAAUGCUUCAAGAUGAGUCGGCAGUGGAUUAGGUAGUUGGUGAGGUAACGGCUCACCAAGCCGAAGAUCCAUAAGGGCCUUGAGAGAGGUUGCCCUGAGAGGGACACUGAGAUACAGGUCCCAGCCCUAAGGGGUGCAGCAGUCGGGAAGACUUUACAAUGCGCGCAAGCGUGAUAAGGGGAUUCUGAGUGCUCAGGUACUACCUGGGCUUUUGCCAAGAGCAAAUAUCUUGGAGAAUAAGUGGUGGGCAAGACUGGUGCCAGCCGCCGCGGUAACCCCAGCGCCACAAGUGGGAACCACGUUUAUUGGGUCUAAAGCAUCCGUAGCCGGCUUCUUAAAUUUUCUGUGAAAUCGUUGCGCUUAACGUAACGGCGUGCAGGGAAGACUGGGAAGCUAGGGACCGGGAGAGGUACAAGGUAUUCCAGGGGGAGCGGUAAAAUGCUUUAAUCCUUGGAGGACCACCGAUGGCGAAGGCAUUGUACCAGAACGGAUCUGACGGUGAGGGAUGAAAGCUAGGGGAGCGAACCGGAUUAGAUACCCGAGUAGUCCUAGCCGUAAACGCUGCGAGUCAGAUGUCACAUAUUCCUCGUGAAUGUGUUGUGUCGAAACGAAGGUGUUAAACUCGCCACCUGGGAAGUACGGCCGCAAGACUGAAACUUAAAGGAAUUGGCGGGGGAGCACUACAACGGGUGCGGCGUGCGGUUUAAUCGAAUUCAACGCCGAGAAUCUCACCAGCGGCGACGGCACUGUGAAGGUCAGUUUGAAGAGCUUACCUGAGGAGCCGAGAGGUGGUGCAUGGCCACCGUCAGCUCGUGCCGUGAGGUGUCCUGUUAAGUCAGGCAACGAGCGAGACCUGUAUCUACUGUUGCUAACGUGUCCGUAAGGAUGAGCGAGCACACUGUGGAGACUGCCUUCGAAAGGAGGAGGAAGGCGCAGGCUACGGUAAGUCUGUAUGCCCCGAAUCUGCUGGGCUACACGCGCGCAACAAUGGUAAGUACAAUGGGAUGCGACUCCGAAAGGAGAAGCUAGGCCUCGAAAACUUAUCUUAGUUCGGAUCGAGGACUGUAACUCGUCCUCGUGACGUCGGAAUCCGUAGUAAUCAGAGUUUAUCAUACUCCGGUGAAUAUGUCCCUGCUCCUUGCACACACCGCCCAUCAAACCAACCGAGCCGGGUUUAGGUGAGUUUUUGCUAUUUUGGCAAAGCCGAACCUAAGUUCAGUGAGGUGGGUUAAGUUGUCACAAGGUA
rnacentral:rRNA from 1 species